rnacentral:rRNA from 1 species
CCUACGGGAGGCAGCAGUGGGGAAUAUUGGACAAUGGGGGGAACCCUGAUCCAGCCAUGCCGCGUGUGUGAAGAAGGCCCUCGGGUUGUAAAGCACUUUCAGUGAGGAAGAACGCCUGGUGGUUAAUACCCAUCAGGAAAGACAUCACUCACAGAAGAAGCACCGGCUAACUCCGUGCCAGCAGCCGCGGUAAUACGGAGGGUGCGAGCGUUAAUCGGAAUUACUGGGCGUAAAGCGCGCGUAGGUGGCUUGAUAAGCCGGUUGUGAAAGCCCCGGGCUCAACCUGGGAACGGCAUCCGGAACUGUCAAGCUAGAGUGCAGGAGAGGAAGGUAGAAUUCCCGGUGUAGCGGUGAAAUGCGUAGAGAUCGGGAGGAAUACCAGUGGCGAAGGCGGCCUUCUGGACUGACACUGACACUGAGGUGCGAAAGCGUGGGUAGCAAACAGGAUUAGAUACACCGGUAGUC